UUACGGCCACAUCACGUUGAAACACCAGUUCCCGUAGGAUCACCAAAGUUAAGCAACGUCAAGCCUGGUCAGUAAUUAGACGGGUGACCGCUUUGUAAUCUUGG